rnacentral:lncRNA from 1 species
UAGUGGUAUCAGAGCGGGUCUACGUUCCUGUAGACUCGUGCUUUAAAAAAAAUGUUUUGCUUUCAAAAAGGUUUAAGUAAGCUUAAAAGGUUAGACUAGCCUAGUCAUUCGAAACUCAUGCGCUGCAUCGACUCCAAGGUAUGUGUUCUAAUUGUUCAAUUAUAGUUAUGGCAGUUAUGAUGUUUUACAAGAUAUUUUUUUAAUAAUGUUUUAUGUUCUAGUACUAUUAUGUUUAGCUCUGUUAGAAAUAGU